CAGCCGACCACGGUCGGGUCAGCGACUGGGGUGAAGUCGUAACAAGGUAGCCGUAGGGGAACCUGCGGCUGGAUCACCUCCUUU
rnacentral:rRNA from 1 species